AACUUUUUACUUUUUCUAAUAAAAACAAUUUCAAUUCAAGUAACAAAUACUCAUGGCUAAUUUUGAAGAAGCUUCAGCUCUAAAACGCAUCAAAAUGCAUCUUCUUGGUGAAUUUUCUCCACUUCCAUCUCCUAUUUCAACACCUUGCUUUGAUUUUGAUUUUGAUUUUGAAUUUCAAACAAUCCCAAACAUAUCUCAAUCUGAAUCAAACUCUUCCACUUCUGAUUCAUCAAUCUCUUUGGAUCAUUAUUUAACUAACCUCCUUGAAACAGAUACACAAAUUCCUCUGUUUGAAUUUGACACAAAACCUCAAUUAAUGGAACAUGAGAGCCCUAAAGCUCUAACAUCAUCUCAUCAUGUUAAUCAACCUCAACGAACAGUAGAGAAGAAGCCUAAACUGAGCCGAAAACCAUCGCUGGAAAUCGCUCUACCGAAGAAGACUGAGUGGAUCCAAUUCGGUAAACCUGAUCCAAAACCGGAGGUGGUUGUUCAGAAACCGGAAGUUGCUGAGAAACAACACUACAGAGGUGUUAGACAAAGACCAUGGGGAAAAUUCGCCGCGGAGAUCCGUGACCCGAACAAAAGAGGUUCAAGAGUUUGGCUUGGAACCUUUGAAACUGCUAUCGAAGCAGCUAAAGCCUACGAUUCAGCUGCUUUCAGGCUGCGUGGCUCCAAAGCGAUUCUCAACUUUCCACUUGAAGUCAACGCAGUCGCAGCAUCGGCGGAAACCACCGUGGAAGGCAAUAAGAAACGGUGCCGUGAAGAAGAAGAAGAAGAAGAGGAAGAGGUGGUAGAAGUAAAACCGGUGGUGAAAAAGGAAAAAAUAACGGAAUAUGAUAUGAACUGUUUUAAAGAGAUGCCGUUAACGCCGUCUUUUUGGACUGGUUUAUGGGACGGUGAUGUCAAGGGUUUGGUCAGCGUUCCACCGCUGUCGCCGUUACCUUCCUUUUGUUUGUCACCUUUAGUUGUUGUGUGAAAUUUCUAUUCUAAGGUUCCUUGCAUCCUGAUAAAUUAGAGAUGUGAAUUUGUACAAAUUCAUGAAAUGAUUUCAUUUAUUCACUAAAUGUUUCUUUGGAUAUACUUGACUAUUUUAUAUUUUUAUUUUUAGAUUGCUAGUAUCGAAAAAGAGUUGAGACAAAGAGUUUAAAUUCUAAAUAAAAUUGUUAGGAUGCCUUUUAUUAGCAAAAUAAUAAGUAUCAGACGGAACAUGCUUAAGAAAAAAGUAUUAGGUAGAACAGUGUUAGACAAAACAGAAUAAUACAAGUUAAACAUAAAAUUGAAUAACAAAUAUAGAGAUUAUAUUUUUAUUUUUAAGAAAUAAAAAUGGAUUUAGUGAGGAACAUGGAUUCAUGUAUUUAUUCAAUCCGUUGCUACGUGUUUUGUUCGGUCUCGUGAUCAAUUUCUAACUCAAACACAAUAAAAAUUUGUCUGGUAAAUCAUAUGUUUUUAGUCAAUUAAAUGCACCCUUAAUGAAUUGAAUUUGUACAAAGCUGUGAGUAUUUUCAUGAAUUUUAUCACAAAGUCUCUUUGUCUUAGGAUUGUUGGAUAAGUCUAAAUGACAUAAUCCUAAUCAAGCUAAGCUCUAAGCCUUAAUCUUAUGUAACCCUAAUUUCUUAUCUAAAUUCACCGCUUUAACAUGAAUCAACCAUUAUCAAACUGUGGAAACGAAAAUGGAGGGUUUGAUAAUUGUUUAUCCAUCAUCUCAAAUAUCAAUUCAUAAAACGAAAGUGGAGCUUUGAUAUUCGAACAAGUGAAUUUAGACAAGGAUUGCAAAGGCAGCGAAAUAGUCUUUGCAAUCUUUGAGAUAUAUAGUUUCGAUCUUCAAGGGAACUAAUAAUGAUCAAGUCAGCGAAAUAGGUUUGGUUGUUAGAGGAACCAAAGUCUAAUAGUAAUCAAGUCAGCGAAAUAGGCUUGGUUGCUAGAGGAACAAAAGAGAAACUGUCUUGAGAAAUUAGGUCUAACAUAAAGUUAUAAGCUUAUAGUUUGGUUUGCGAAGGACUUGUUAUUUAGAUGAACCAAUGAUCCCAAGGCUCCUUUUAUAUUAUUAUCUUUCAAUCGUUGAAAACCCCAACUUACAACUUGUUUCUCCUCUAAUCACCAUCAAAGGUUAAUUGAAUUAAACUACUCCCUGUCGGAACGAUACUCUUUUCAUACUACUUCGGUAAGACUGUGCACUUGCGGUUUUAUCUCAUCAGAAAUCACAUAAAAUCUUCUUUGUCGAUGUAUGCAGGAACAAGAAAAUUCAAUAGCAGUAACAAGAUGAGAGAGAUGAAGGGAAGUGAAAUAUAUGGUAGAGAGUUUUAUGUGUUGAUGAAAAUGAUUUGAUUUUGAUGAUGAGAAUUUUAUUUUAUUUUAUCUUUUGAUUUUUUUCUGGGUUAUAUGAAAAUUGACUAAGGAGUAUGAAUGUGUUGAUGAAGGAAUGUGUUGAUGAAGGAAAAAGAAGAAAUAAGAAGAAGAAAAAUUAGGUGUUGAUAGUUCAUCGUAAGAUACAACAUACUUAUAUGAUCAAACGGUUCUCUUUUUGAAAAAAAUAUCGAAUGGUUAAAAUUAAAUGAAUUUAUAAGGUUUAUGGUGGACCACCUUAGACAUUUGAUGUUAAAAAUUAAUGGAGAGGAUCAAAACGGUAAACGAAAAAAUAUUUAUGAGACCAAUUGAAAUAUUUUAUAGUCAAGGGACCAAAGUAAAAACCAAAAGUAAGUUAAAGGACUAAAUUAUGAAUUAUCUAUAACCGACUGUGUCAUAAAACCUACUACUAUAGAAAUUUUUGUUGCUUCUAUUUUCCUCUAUUCCCCUUUAAACUUAUCUCCCAAUCAAAUUCUUAAGGAGUGACACACCACCUCUAUCGUGCAGUACUUGUAAUAAUGUUGUAUAUUUUUAUUUUAUUUUGGAGUGGUUCGUUCAUUAUUGUUCUUGUAUAUAAGUAAAAUUGUGAAAAUAAGUAAAAGACAAACCUAUCGCUAUGACCCCUCAAAAAGAAAAGGCAAACCUAUGACAUCAACGCAAUUGCAUCGUGACGUGCAAUAAUAUAGUAAUGGAAAAAAAAAGUUAGGUAAAUCAAACGUAUGUCUUCCCUUAUUUUAAAAGUUUAUUAGAUCAAGCAAAUUCAAAUUAUAAUUACUCGUGAGCUUAAGUCAGUUGAUUAAAACAAUGCAUAAAAUAUACAAGAUUUAGAUUUAAACUCCGGUCACUACUAAAAAAAUCCAAAUUAUAAAUUUUUUCCUUUCAUUUUGAUACAUUAAUAAUUGGUUAGUUAUUUCAACGUAACCAAAAAAAAUUUCCUCUCAAUUUGCUUCACUACAUCCUGCUACCAUUUGAUUUUAAAUUUAGAUUUUUAUACCUCACUAAGCUUGCAGUAAAUAAUGCCCUCCCAUCAUCCCUUAUGAAACGCCAUUCAUAAUGCAUCUAGCAAAUCCUAAAAUCUAAUUUUUUUUCCUCCCAUUUUGAAGCAUUAGAUGAUUCGUUAGUUCUUUCUAUGGAACCAUUUUUUUUCUCUUUCAUUUUUACUUCAUUAUUGCAAUCAUUUUAUUUUGAAUUUUGAUUCCCCCGUUAUUUCACUUGCAAAAUAAAUAAUGUCCUUUACCCCCACCCUCCUCCUCCUCCUCCAAUAAAAAGCCAUUCAUAACGGCUCUCACAAAAUCAUUUUGUAUUUUACUUAGAUUUUUGUUUUUAAUAGGACCAAAUAGGUUUAUGUGAAGAAAUUUGAGAGAUUUUUGAGUCGAAACAACAACUGUUGAUUUAAAACUACUUUUAACUUAUUUUUCGCUUGUACAUGUUUCACAUAUUCUAUCUUUAUCAAACAAACAAAAAAUUGGAAGACCUCUUACUAACUCAAGCUGUGAUAUUUUUGAAAUCAAUUUCAUAUUUACAUAAUCGGCUCUUUUGUGUCAAAUUCAUUUAUCUUUUUCAAAUGACAUGAAAAAUGAUUCAGAUGUGAUGUGAUGUGGGUAACUCUCGAUCUUGGGUGAGUUAUCCUCGGCCUGCAUGGGCGUGGGUAACUCCCGAACCUCGUGAGCCACCCUUGGUCUGUACUAUGAUCCGAUGAGUUUUAGGUGUGUCUAUCGUAUGAUGUCGUCUUCUUAAAGACUCAGGUCGGAUCUGAGGGGAGCUAGAUUGGGCUUUAGGCCAGUUCGAAACAGUAGCCCCCCAGGCUAUAGGCUGAGGGAAUCAUAUUGUAGUUUGAUAUAAGCUCUCUAUUUGGAGUCUGUCUUAGAGGUCAGAGACUGCAUCUGUUGUUGUGACUUUGGGCUUUUACGAGCUUCGCCAGACUUUGGAGUUUCCUUGCGAGGUUUUCAGAAUUACCGAGACGUGGCUUAAUGUCGUCUAGUAUGGGGUCUCUCAUGUUUGCUCCACACUGAGCGUAUCAUUAUAAUACAUCACUAUAAAUACGGGUCUCUCUCACAUUUAUGAUCACUUCACCGACUCACUUUGCAACCUGCUAACAUCCAAACUUACUUGUGUAACGCCCUAGUUGUUAUUAAUUAUUUUUCAAUUUAUUUUAGAGUCUUUUGUAUGAUUUUAAUAUGAAUUAUGUUGAUUGGUGUGUGCUAUAUUUUAUUAUAUGAUUUAUUAUGAUAUUUAUUAAAAUAAUGUGAGAAUUAUUGUUAUUUUGAAAAUUGGGGAGUUAAUUAGAAUUUAAUUGAAUUUAGUGGGAAUAAAGUGUAAUUAAAGGGAGUUAUAGGGAGUUAGGAAAUAGAAAGGAAGUUAAGUUAAGAGUUAGAAAGACAGAAAACUGUCUGUACGUACAAUUGAACCUUUGGGAAGAAAACAGAGAAAACCAAGCCAAGGGGAGAACAAGAGCAAGAGGGGAUCGAUUUUUGCUGUAGCUUUGUUUGUGCAAUUGAAUUCAGGUAAGGGUGAGGUUUGCUUCAGUAGUGUAGAUGUUAAUCUCUGGUUUUGAAUUUAUCAGGUUUUGGUGAGAAUGGGAAAAGAUGGGUUUUUGAUUUUGAUUUCUAAAUUAGAAAUGUAUAGGAACCAUGUUAUUUUAGACUUAGUUGUGUUCUGGGCGAUUCUAGGAUUACAUAACAUUACUGUAACCUGUUUUGGGGUUUGGAUUGGGAAAAAUUGGGAUUUUUAAUGAAAAACUACAAAAUUCACGAUUCUGGAACUGUCACGACUGGCCCUGGCGAAGCCAUUUUCGCCAUUCCCUCGCCAUUGGUUCACCCUGGCGAAUGUGUCCAGAAAUUUUUCCCGAGAACACUGCCUUAGUUCGCCAUUCCAUCGCCUUUUGUUCGCCCUGGCGAAAGUGCCCAGGAGCUUUUCGUCUUACGCUCGCCAUGGCGAGUAGCCUUUUUGUUGAAUUUCGCCUGGCGAAAGUACCCAGAACUGAAUCAUAAUUUUUGGGUUUUGUAUACUCAGUUGUACGCAUUGUUUGGUUGAUUCUUUUGACUGUGCUAAUGGUUAUAUAUGACUAUAUUAUUUAUCGAGAGUAUGAUUAAAUGUUGAGUGAUGAUUUAUGUAUAUUUACACUUAAAUAAAUUAUACAAAUUGUUGGUGCUGUUCUGAAGUAUGUUGUGUUUGCUAAACCAUACAUGUCGUUUUAUUCCGGAGUCAUAUGAGAAUGUAUGCAUGGUCAAGUUGUAUGUAGAUAUACACAAGUGGGUCCAUUGCAUAUGCAUAACAGCGGGAAGACUCAUGUCCUGGAACACUAGUUGUUCACAGCGGUGAGGGCUUUGGUCAUGAUGAAUGCUUUAACCAUUCAAAAGUGGUGAGGGCUUCGGUCCAGUUUUGGUACCACAUGCAUAAUUGCAUUUAUUGAGGGGUCUUAGUGGUGUCGUUAUGUCAUGCAUGAGUCUUUGUUGUUGGUUGUAAUUGCCAUAUUGAUGAUGAUGAUGAUGUUGAUGAUGAAUAUAUAUCUAUGUAUAUAUUAUGAUGAAUUGAUUUUGAAGAUGAUGUAUUGAUGUUUAAUAGGGUGUUAGAUUCAAUUGAUGAUUUUAAUAUCUAUAUUUUAUUGUUGUAAAUCUCACCCCUUCUGCUUGAAAAUGUUGCCCUUCCUAUGGGUAACUUGCAGGUGAUUCUGAGUAGUAGGUGGCGGCUCAAUGUCUAGGACUCUGAUACGUCUGGGAUGGGGUCUUUAUGUUUAUGUUUAUUCUUAUGCAUCGAAUUUUGGAUUAAGCUGAUGUAGCUCUUUUGUUAUUGUUGAACAAACUUAAUUCUUUGGAUUAUGUUGAUGAUGAAUUUUAACGUUGAAAAUAUUCCGCUGCAAAUUGAUGUUGGUUUAUUAAAUAGUUUUAUUUUCUAUUUAAGAAAUUUUGAAAUGUAGUGUAGCAUGCCCGUUUGAUGAAUUACUCUGAUGAAUAUUUUGUAUUAAAUUACUUUUGGGUAACGGGGUGUUACAACUUGGACAUCAGAGUGCCUUUUGCAUGAACAUCUCCCCCUCUUCCUCGUUCAAUGACGAGGCUUACGACCAACCGUGGUGGACCAGAUCCUUAAUAAGAUCAAACUUUAUACUAAGAGGCUAGCUCAACUUGUUUAACCUAAACAAUUACAAUAGAAAAUUUAAAAACUAACCAUAUUUUAGUUAGACAUUUUUCUUCUACAAUUUUUUUCUUAAUAAUCUAAUCCAUUAUUUAAAAUUUAAAUUUUGAGACACGUAAAAUGAAUUAAAUUAAAUUUAUAUUUUAUAAUAUAAGCAUAUACAUUUAAAUACAAAAAAAAAAUGUGAAUAAAUGUGUCAUCUUUCGCUAUAAGUAAGUGUGUUUUUAAAAGUAUUUACAAAAACACAUGAUGAACAAAAUAGUAAUAUGCAUUAAUCAAAAGGACCGCCAUUUGUUUUUAUUUUUAUUUUUUUAAAGAAAAAGGACCGCCAUCUAAAGACAACAAAAUGGACAAGAUUUAGAAGUAGACAUGGUCACAUGGACAAAAUGAGGAGCAAACUACAAAGGUGUUCCCUAUCGUAGAAGAUUGAAAUUUCAAAUUGCAAAGAAAAGUAAUUAGGAUGCUUCCUAGUAGCAUCGUAGAACCACAGUUGAAAGUCGCACUCUCACUCAUUAAUUCAACAUUUUCCGCUCUAUAUAUAUCCUUUUUUCCACUCAAAUUAGACAACACACAAUCUCAUCCUCUCUUCUUAUCUUCUUCUUCUUCUUCUUCUUCAACAACUUUUUACUUCUUCCUAAUCAUUUUCUUUUAAAAACAAUUUCAAUUCAAGUAACAAAUACAAAUACUCAUGGCUAACUUUGAAGAAGUUUCAGCUCUUAAACGUAUCAAAUUCCAUCUUCUCGGUGAAUUUUCUCCACUUCCAUCUCCUAUUUCAACACCUUGCUUUGAUUUUGAUUUUGAUUUUGAAUUUCAAACCAACCAAACAGCAUCUCAAUCAGAAUCCAAUUCCUCCACUUCAAUCUCUAUGAAUCAAUAUUUCACUAACCUCCUUGAAACAGAUGCACAAAUUCCACUGUUUGAAUUUGACACAAAAC
rnacentral:lncRNA from 1 species